rnacentral:lncRNA from 1 species
GGCGUUUCAAGCUUGGAACUUUGGAGCGUUUUAGGUGUACUUCGUUCUUGCUUUCAAUGUCUAGUUUGUUAUUUUCUAAUUUUGUUGCAAUUAUGAGUGGCUAAACCCCUAUUUAGUUAGGGGGAACUUUGAAGCCAUGAACAUGCUUGAGAUUUGAAUUGAUUUCUUCCAAUUGUGAUUUGAUAAGUUGUGAUUGCAAUUCAAUUACCUAUUUUAUUCAUAACUGAUUCUUGUAUGUUUAUUAAGGAUGCAUACUUAGUUUUCAUGCAUGAAUUAGAUGCUAGAAUAUAAAUGAGUUUCACCUAAUCGUUACAAGUUUAUAUUCAUGAGUAGUGAAGGUUGUUUAUCACAAUCGCGUUAAUUGAAUUCUUGGCAAUUGUAUCAUGCAUUCAUAGUUAUAAUUGCCUCAUCAACACUUAUGAUUUUCAUUGAACAUAAUGAUCUCUGAUUGUAUCUCUAUUAUGCAUUCAUAUAGGGGACUUUUAGAAAAUGAUUUGGGUUGUCGCAUGCAUUCAUCCAAUUCAAUGAGUAAAGGAAAAUCCAAGGGUUAAUUUGGGCAUCACGGUUAAUCUGAGGUGUUGAGCAUCAUAUUUUAUUGAAAAGCAAUUGGAAAUCAAUUCAUGUACAAGUGUGUCAUGUACGAAGAACGGACCUCUAACUAAUCCAUCCAUCAUCUCAUUUCUUAAAUUCGCUUUACAAUCUGUCUAAUUUUAUAAGUUGUUUGUUUGUUUCGAAUUCGUCAAAACCAAAAUCCCCCUUUUACUUUGUUGUUUCAAAGUGUUAAAUUUCUAUUUCGUUAGUGUUUUUGAGUGUUUUGAUUCAAACCAAAACACUAAAUUCAUCCAAAGUUGUGUUAGAGUCAAAUCUGCCCAGUAAGUGUUUUUAGGCAAUUUUAAGUGUUUUUAAGUUGUUUUGCGUCUUUAGAAUCUGUUUUGAGUCCUUUGAGUCUAUUCAAACGUUUUUAACUUUGUUUUUAUGUUUUUGAGUUAGUUUAGAGGUUUUAGCAAGCCCUCCUAAUCCCCGAUUUAGAACGAUCCCUACUUCCAUUUUUACUACAAUUUGACAACAAGAGGGUUUAAUUUGAGUGCUUAACUUUCAUCGCAUCAAAUUUUGGCGCUGUUGCCGGGGACUAGCAAUUUUACUAGUCCCUUGUUAUUUCUUUUUGUUUAUUUUCAUAUGUU